UUGCAGUUAAAAAGCUCGUAGUUGGAUUUCUGCGGGGGCGGGGCGGCCGGAUGCUUAUAGCAUCUCGAGCUAGCACUUCCCCUGCAUCCUGCCGCGAACCGUGCUACCAUUAGUUUGGUGGCGCCGGGGAUCGGCUCGUUUACUUUGAGAAAAAUAGAGUGUUCAAAGCAGGCCACACGCCUUGAAUAAGUUAGCAUGGAAUAAUGAUAAAGGACUACGGUUCUAUUUUGUUGGUGUUCGGGACUGAAGUAAUGAUUGAUAGGGACAGUUGGGGCGGUCCGUAUUCCAAAGCGAGAGGUGAAAUUCUUAGACCUUCGGAAGACGAACAGCUGCGAAAGCGUUCCGCAAGGAUGUUCCCUUUGAUCAAGAACGAAAGUUGGGGGAUCGAAGACGAUCAGAUACCGUCGAAGUCUCAACUAUAAACUAUACCAGCUAGGGAUCGGCCAACGUUUACUUACAUCGACUUGGUUCGGCACCCUUAUGAGAAAUCAAAGCAUCUGGGUUUCCGGGGGGAGUAUGGUCCGCAAGGCUGAAA
rnacentral:rRNA from 1 species